GACGAACGCUGGCGGCGUGCCUAAUACAUGCAAGUAGAACGCACAGUUUAUACCGUAGCUUGCUACACCAUAGACUGUGAGUUGCGAACGGGUGAGUAACGCGUAGGUAACCUGCCUGGUAGCGGGGGAUAACUAUUGGAAACGAUAGCUAAUACCGCAUAAUAUUAAUUAUUGCAUGAUAAUUAAUUGAAAGGUGCAAUUGCACCACUACCAGAUGGACCUGCGUUGUAUUAGCUAGUAGGUGAGGUAACGGCUCACCUAGGCGACGAUACAUAGCCGACCUGAGAGGGUGAUCGGCCACACUGGGACUGAGACACGGCCCAGACUCCUACGGGAGGCAGCAGUAGGGAAUCUUCGGCAAUGGACGAAAGUCUGACCGAGCAACGCCGCAUGAGUGAAGAAGGUUUUCGGAUCGUAAAGCUCUGUUGUAAGAGAAGAACGGGUGUGAGAGUGGAAAGUUCACACUGUGACGGGAUCUUACCAGAAAGGGACGGCUAACUACGU
rnacentral:rRNA from 1 species